CAUACCGCUCAGGAACACGUAGCUAACCUACCCUCGGGACAAGGAUACCCCCGGGAAACUGGGGCUAAUCCGUGAUAGGUGUGGAGGCCUGGAAUGGUUCCACUCCCAAAGGCACGGCGGUCAUGUUUGUCGUGUGCCCGAGGAUGGGGCUGCGGCUGAUCAGGCAGUUGGCGAGGUAACGGCUCACCAAACCUUUGACCGGUACGGGCCAUGAAAGUGGUAGCCCGGAGAUGGGCACUGAGACAGGGGCCCAGGCCCUACGGGGCGCAGCAGGCGCGAAAACUCCACAAUGUACGAAAGUACGAUGGAGUUACCUCGAGUGUAGUCCGAUAAGGGCUUCUUUUCCAUAGAGUAAUAUCCUGUGGGAAUAAGAGGGGGGCAAGACUGGUGUCAGCCGCCGCGGUAACACCAGCCCCUCGAGUGGUGGGGACUUUUAUUUGGCCUAAAGCGUCCGUACCUGGCUGUGUAAGUCCCCCGUUAAAUCCAGCGUCCUAAGCAUUAGACUGCCAGUGAUACUACAAAUCUAGAGGGUGGGAUAGGUGAGCGGUAUUUCAGGUGUAAAAGCUAAUUCCAUAAAUCAAAUUAGGUGCCUCAUAGGAACAAGGUGAUAAAAAAAACAACGCCUAACGAUUAG
rnacentral:rRNA from 1 species